rnacentral:rRNA from 1 species
UACCAGCACCCCGAGUGGUCGGGACGAUUAUUGGGCCUAAAGCAUCCGUAGCCGGUUCUACAAGUCUUCCGUUAAAUCCACCUGCUCAACAGCUGGGCUGCGGAGGAUACUAUAGAGCUAGGAGGCGGGAGAGGCAAGCGGUACUUAGUGGGUAGGGGUAAAAUCCGUUGAUCCAUUGAAGACCACCAGUGGCGAAGGCGGCUUGCCAGAACGCACUCGACGGUGAGGGAUGAAAGCUGGGGGAGCAAACCGG